CCUUUCAGUAGCACCUUUUGUAGUAUUGUAACUCAUUUUUGCUGAAAUGGAAUUUUCCCAAACAGACUAGACUCCAAUUGACUUUGCUCUACUUAUACAGCUGCACUUCACUCAAAGGUGUGUACACAUUAUAGCUAACCAAUCACAAUGUAAUGAAUAGGAUGUUUAAAAAAAAACAAUCAAAUUUAUGUACUAAAAUAGUCCAUAGUAUUUGACAACCAACUUUUUAUGAAAAUGAGUGAACAAGCAAACAUUUUCAAAGGCGGGGUCACAAAUAGACUACCUACAUCUAUAGAUAAUCUAUUAUACAGAACAACAGUAAUGAAUGCAGCUGGUCAGUGAAAGUGCAACAUAUGAAAUAGCAGUUAUCACAACACCACCAACUAUCAUUCCACCAAUAUUAAAGACCAUUGAUACGCAGCGACUGUUUUCUGCAGCAACAGCAUCUCCACGAAGGUCUUCAUCCUUUGACUUAAAUGAAGAAUAAUAAUACAAUGCAAUAUGAACAAUUGAAAAAUUUACAAUUUCAUAAGAAAUUGAAAUUGCUAUUUAUCACUAUAUAGCUGUAUUUAAUAACAAUACAGGCUUCAACACAAACUGCAA